GGGGGGGGCAAGCGUUGUUCGGAAUUACUGGGCGUAAAGGGCUCGUAGGCGGCCAACUAAGUCAGACGUGAAAUCCCCAGGCUUAACCUGGGAACUGCGUCUGAUACUGGAUGGCUUGAAUUCGGGAGAGGGAUGCAGAAUUCCAGGUGUAGCGGUGAAAUGCGUAGAUAUUGGGAGGAACACCGGUGGCGAAGGCGGCCCCCUGGACCGGUACUGACGCUGAGGCGCGAAAGCGUGGGUAGCAAACGGGAUUAGAUACCCCGGUAGUCCACGUCGUAAACGAUGGGCACUUGGUGUCGCGGGUAUCGACCCCUGCGGUGCCGAAGCUAACGCAUUAAGUGCCCCGCCUGGGGAGUACGGUCGCAAGGCUG
rnacentral:rRNA from 1 species